GAUGAAGAACGCAGCGAAAUGCGAUACGUAAUGUGAAUUGCAGAAUUCAGUGAAUCAUCGAAUCUUUGAACGCAUAUUGCGCUCUCUGGUAUUCCGGAGAGCAUGCUUGUUUGAGUAUCAGUAAACACCUCAACUCCCUUUUCUUUUUUGAAAUUGGUGCUGGACUUGAGUGAUCCCAACGCUUUCUUCCAAGAAAGUGGCGGGUUGCUUGAAAUGCAGGUGCAGCUGAACUUUUCUCUGAGCUAUAAGCAUAUCUAUUUAGUCUGCCUAAAAAACAGAUUAUUACCUUUGCUGCAGCUAACAUAAAGGAGACUAGUUCUUGUGCUGACUGAUGCAGGAUUCACAGAGACAGCUUCGGCUGACUUUGUAAACUCGAUCUCAAAUCAAGUAAGACUACCCGCUGAACUUAAGCAUAUCAAUAAGCGGAGGA
rnacentral:misc_RNA from 1 species